rnacentral:rRNA from 1 species
GGGCCAGACUCCUACGGGAGGCAGCAGUGAGGAAUAUUGGUCAAUGGCCGAGAGGCUGAACCAGCCAAGUCGCGUGAGGGAGGACGGCCCUACGGGUUGUAAACCUCUUUUGUCAGGGAGCAAGGGACAGGUCGUGACCUGUUGUGAGAGUACCUGAAGAAAAAGCAUCGGCUAACUCCGUGCCAGCAGCCGCGGUAAUACGGAGGAUGCGAGCGUUAUCCGGAUUUAUUGGGUUUAAAGGGUGCGCAGGCGGGAGAUCAAGUCAGCGGUAAAAUGUCGGGGCUCAACCCCGGCCGGCCGUUGAAACUGGUUUUCUAGAGUUGGAGAGAAGUAUGCGGAAUUCGUGGUGUAGCGGUGAAAUGCAUAGAUAUCACGAAGAACUCCGAUUGCGAAGGCAGCAUACCGGCUCCAUACUGACGCUGAGGCACGAAAGCGUGGGGAUCGAACAGGAUUAGAUACCCCGGCAU